rnacentral:lncRNA from 1 species
ACACAACCCACAUGGGAGCAUUUCUUCUGUUCACUGUUGGCUUUGGCCUCCACCUUGACCCCUGGCCUUGCAAACCCUGCUCCUGGCACAGCUAAAUUCAGCCCGCACAAAGUAUCCGAGCUGAGGUCCCUUCUCACUUGGCCACCUGAUACAGCUGCCACCAGGCCCUUUCUUCCAUAAAGCAACAUAAUUUCCUUCCCUGCAGGUGAAAGAAUGGUAUUUAAUGAAUCCCAAGAUAAACGACAGCUGCCAAUACCUUUUAAGGACAUAAUAUAAAUUAGCUGUUGCUCACACAAAGUUAUUGCAUGCAUAAAAGGUGGUGCUAAAUGAAAACAAAAGCUGUGAAUCAAGACUGGUGUUUUUGGUUUUGUUAGAAUUUGCAGAAAAUUGUUACCCUGCAUUCCAGCAUGAGAUGGCAGUUUGAGAUGUUAUCAUCUCUGAUGAUCUAGAGGUCUCCAAAGGGUAGCUUCUUUCCUUCACAAGACAAAAUGGAUUUCCUUAAUCCUCCCACCAAUGAAGCACAAAGCACGCUCACACAACACUCUAAAGACAUUAAGCCAGUGAGAUGUGAAAAACAGAGUUUUUUUCUGGAGGUGAAACAGGCUCAGAAGAUGAUUCCCC